CCAUCUCCCUUCUCGUCCUCCUGGUGGUCUGCACCCCAGGGUGUGAACAGAAGAGCCAUGCCAGAGCUUUUUAAAAAAGGAACCCACCAAACCGUACCAGACCAGGGACUCUAUCUCUGAGACUCUCUGUUCCUGGUCACUGCCUGUCCCUGAACCUCACUGUAGUGUAAUGAAAAGAUCCAUAUUUGAUCCUUGUCCUGGUUCCUGGCCCAGAUGUCCUGCAACCCUUGGAAUUUACUGUCUUCUGUAUGGUAAUGCGAUGAGUCAAGGAAGGGGACCCAGGAUAACUUAAGGAUGGGGCCGGUCUCCAAGAAGUCUCAUCACGUGAUUAGAGAAUUAGAACUUUCAACCUGUAGUACUUCUGGGGAGAGGAGAGGACCCACCGCCUGCCUUCUGCCUGGAGCCUCCCUACAAGGGUCUCUGCGAGGCCAUCUUUAUC